CCUACGGGAGGCAGCAGUGGGGAAUAUUGCACAAUGGGGGAAACCCUGAUGCAGCGACGCCGCGUGAGUGAAGAAGUACUUCGUUACGUAAAGCUCUAUCAGCAGGGACGAAAAUGACGGUCCCUGAGUAAGUAGCACCGGCUAACUACGUGCCAGCAGCCGCGGUCAUACGGAGGGGGCCAGCGUUAUACGGAUUUUCUGGGUGUAAAGGGGGUGUAGAGGGUGUGCCAAGUCUGAAGUGAAAUGCAGCAGCUUAACUGCGGAACUGCUUUGGAAACUGGCGAACUAGAGUGCGGGAGGGGUAAGCGGAAUGCGUGGUGUAGCGGUGAAAUGCAGAGAUAUCAGGAAGAACACCGAUGGCGAAGGCAGCUUACUGGAGCGUAACUGACGUUGAUGCUCGAAAGCGUGGGGAGCAAACAGGAUUAGAUACCCGAGUAGUC
rnacentral:rRNA from 1 species